rnacentral:rRNA from 1 species
GAUCCUGGCUCAGGAUGAACGCUAGCUACAGGCUUAACACAUGCAAGUCGAGGGGCAGCAUUUUUAUAGCAAUAUAAAAGAUGGCGACCGGCGCACGGGUGAGUAACACGUAUCCAACCUGCCGAUAACUCGGGGAUAACCCUUCGAAAUAAGGCCUAAUACCCGAUGGCAUAUCCCUUCCGCCUGGUUGGGAUAUUAAAGAACUUCGGUUAUCGAUGGGGAUGCGUUCCAUUAGCUUGUUGGCGGGUAACGG